CCUACGGGUGGCAGCAGUGGGGAAUAUUGCACAAUGGGGGAAACCCUGAUGCAGCAACGCCGCGUGGGUGAAGGCGCGCCUCGUCGUGUUAAGCUUUGUCAGCGGGGAAGAAGUAAGACGGUACCCGACCCAUAAGCCCCGGCCAACUACGUGCAAGCAGCCGCGGUAAUACGUCGGGAGCGAGCGUUAUCCGGAAUUACUGGGUGUUAAGGGAGCGUAGACGGCGAGGUAAGCCUGAAGGGGAAGCCGCCGGGCCAACCGCGGAAGUGCGGUUGAAACUGUUGUGCUGGAGUAUGGGAGGGGUAAGCGGAAUUCGUGGUGUAGCGGUGAAAUGCGUAGAUAUCAGGAAGAACACCGAUGGCGAAGGCAGCAUACUGGAGCAUAACUGACGUUGAGGCUCGAAAGCGUGGGGAGCGAACAGGAUUAGAUACCCGGGUAGUC
rnacentral:rRNA from 1 species